rnacentral:sRNA from 2 species
AUUGCUGGAACGCGCCCCAGGCGCACCCAGAAACCCUUUGUGAACUUAUACCUUUUGUUGCCUCGGCGCAUGCUGGUCUCUAAGUAGGCCCCUCACCCCGGUGAGGAGAAGGCACGCCGGCGGCCAAAACAACUCUUGUUUUUACACUGAAACUCUGAGAAAAAACACAAAUGAAUCAAAACUUUCAACAACGGAUCUCUUGGUUCUGGCAUCGAUGAAGAACGCAGCGAAAUGCGAUAAGUAAUGUGAAUUGCAGAAUUCAGUGAAUCAUCGAAUCUUUGAACGCACAUUGCGCCCUCUGGUAUUCCGGAGGGCAUGCCUGUUCGAGCGUCAUUUCAACCCUCAAGCAUUGCUUGGUGUUGGGGCACUGCUUUUAACGAAGCAGGCCCUGAAAUCUAGUGGCGAGCUCGCCAGGACCCCGAGCGCAGUAGUUAAACCCUCGCUCUGGAAGGCCCUGGCGGUGCCCUGCCGUUAAACCCCCAACUUUUGAAAAUUUGACCUCGGAUCAGGUAGGAAUACCCGCUGAACUUAAGCAU